AUGGGGAAGGUGUGUGGCAUGCUGCCGGACAAAUACAGCAAGCAGUGCGAUGACUUCCUGCAGAAGCAUGGCAAGCAAGUGAUCGACUUCCUGUUGUCCGAUGCUGCGCCCCACACCAUCUGCGUGCUGUUGCACCUGUGCCUGUUAGACGAUACGCCAUCUAGAGAGUACUCCCUGGCCUCAGACUGCACCUCCUGUCUCACACUCUCGGCCUUAACACGGUUCCACCUCGGACGGAACGCCACGGAGACGCAGGUCGCCUCCCUACUGCAAAGUGUCUGCCAGAGGCACCCCAACUCCGUUCCUCAGUGUGAGCUCUUUACCCAGCUCUAUGGGCCAAGACUCCUGAGCAUUUUGGGGAAACAAGAUGGUGGCCGGGACACUUGUGAGGUAAAAUCACAUCCAGUUGCUCAGUGUAUUGAACAACCAGUACUGUACAUGACACACUACACAAGAUGCUGUUUGGAAAUGUGUUGCACUUGGCAAGUUACAUUUGCCUGACUCCAUACUGUACCCUAAGCUCAAAGACCUUGUGUGUGUGUGUUUGUGUGUGUGUGUGUGUGUGUGUGUGUGUGUGUGUUCACUUCUCAGAAAGAGGACUUCUGCCGAGGCCAGUGGAGGGAAAGUGUUCACUAGAACCUUUACUCGUCUCUUUCUGAAUUUGAAGAACCACACUUGCCGCUUCCACCAAUCACCCAUCAUAAUCACGCACUCAGAGCGACACCACACGCUUGUUUCUCACUGGCCACCACUUCAACAGCAAGAGGACAACAGAAUCUGGAAUUUUCACAACUCUGUUACAACACUGUUACAAAUGCUCACUCCUGUCUAUAAACAAGCAUUCCUUCUUGACACAUGUCUCAUCAUGAACACAUAGAAUUGUAACAAGUGUAUAGAAAUGCAGAAAUGAAAAAAGAAUACAGGAGUGAGUGUCAGUAUUGAGAAGUGAGUAACAGUAUUGGUCAAAACCCCAAACAGUCCACAUGGUCCACAUGCUUUCCUCAGCAGCGAUGUAUGUAGUCACACCUCACCUGUUCUUUUCAAAAGGUGCCCUGCAUGUAAAAAUUGUGUAUGAGUGUGUGUGCGUGUGUGCGUGUAUGAGUGUGUGUGCGUGUGCAUGUAUGAGUGUGUUUGUGUGUGUGUGUGUGUGUUUAUGAGUGUGUGUGUGUGUGAGCAGAGCAAUCCUAAUGAGAAUGAGGGGAACAGAGCAGGGGUGUAAAGAUGGCUGGCGUACCCCUGUGUCACUCAAAGGCACUGGUGAUCUCUUGUGCUUCAUGUGACUGGCGUACCCCUGUGUCACUCAAAGGCACUGCUGAUCUCUUGUAUCUGUUUGCUUCACGUGACUGGUGUACCCCUGUGUCACUCAAAGGCACUGGUGAUCUCUUGUAUCUGUUUGCUUCACGUGACUGGUGUACCCCUGUGUCACUCAAAGGCACUGGUGAUCUCUUGUAUCUGUUUGCUUCACGUGACUGGUGUACCCCUGUGUCACUCAAAGGCACUGCUGAUCUCUUGUAUCUGUUUGCUUCACGUGACUGGUGUACCCCUGUGUCACUCAAAGGCACUGGUGAUCUCUUGUAUCUGUUUGCUUCACGUGACUGGUGUACCUCUGUGUCACUCAAAGGCACCGGUGAUCUCUUGUAUCUGUUUGCUUCAUGUGACUGAAUCUUCUAUUGCACUGAUCUUUGCUAAUCAUUUGCACUUUUUCAACUGUAUCACAGAUGAGCCAAUCUCAAAGUUUUAAAAUUUUAAACUGAGGUCGUAUAUCAGGGAGAAUGAGAAACUGCUGUAAUAUGGAAAUAAAAUUGUUACUGAUGAUACA
ensembl:lncRNA